CACGUAGGGCGCAAGCGUUGUCCGGAAUUAUUGGGCGUAAAGAGCUCGUAGGCGGUCUGUUGCGUCCGCUGUGAAAACUCGGGGCUUAACCCCGAGCCUGCAGUGGAUACGGGCAGACUAGAGGUAGGUAGGGGAGAAUGGAAUUCCCGGUGUAGCGGUGAAAUGCGCAGAUAUCAGGAGGAACACCGAUGGCGAAGGCAGGUCUCUGGGCCGCAACUGACGCUGAGGAGCGAAAGCAUGGGGAGCGAACAGG
rnacentral:rRNA from 1 species